rnacentral:rRNA from 1 species
CCCUACGGGAGGCAGCAGUGGGGAAUAUUGCACAAUGGGGGGAACCCUGAUGCAGCGAUGCCGCGUGGAGGAAGAAGGUUUUCGGAUUGUAAACUCCUUUUAUCAGGGACGAUAAUGACGGUACCUGAAGAAAAAGCUCCGGCUAACUACGUGCCAGCAGCCGCGGUAAUACGGAGGAUGCGAGCGUUAUCCGGAUUUAUUGGGUUUAAAGGGUGCGCAGGCGGUCUGUUAAGUCAGCGGUCAAAGCCCGGGGCUCAACCCCGGCCCGCCGUUGAAACUGGCAGUCUCGAGUUGGAGAGACGUAU